rnacentral:rRNA from 1 species
GAUGAACGCUGGCGGCGUGCCUAAUACAUGCAAGUCGAGCGAACAGACGAGGAGCUUGCUCCUCUGACGUUAGCGGCGGACGGGUGAGUAACACGUGGAUAACCUACCUAUAAGACUGGGAUAACUUCGGGAAACCGGAGCUAAUACCGGAUAAUAUAUUGAACCGCAUGGUUCAAUAGUGAAAGACGGUUUUGCUGUCACUUAUAGAUGGAUCCGCGCCGCAUUAGCUAGUUGGUAAGGUAACGGCUUACCAAGGCAACGAUGCGUAGCCGACCUGAGAGGGUGAUCGGCCACGCUGGAACUGAGACACGGUCCAGACUCCUACGGGAGGCAGCAGUAGGGAAUCUUCCGCAAUGGGCGAAAGCUUGACGGAGCAACGCCGCGUGAGUGAUGAAGGUCUUCGGAUCGUAAAACUCUGUUAUUAGGGAAGAACAAAUGUGUAAGUAACUAUGCACGUCUUGACGGUACCUAAUCAGAAAGCCACGGCUAACUACGU